rnacentral:lncRNA from 1 species
AAUGUAACAAGCAAUAACUACCUCUUAGGGAUGUAUAGAGAGAAUUCCCACAGGAGAGAGAUGGCAUAUUUCAAAUUGAGACUAUUCGAUCCAGGGGCUGGUCAUCAAGAUGGAGCAGGGUAUAGAGAAGCCAUUAGGGAUGAUACAGAACAGCACCAAAGGAGCUCCUUCUGGGAUUCUCUAUUGGCUGAACUCAGCCAGAAGCUGCCAAGGGAGACCCCCACAACUGGAUGCAGCCCACUGAAGUCAGCUUCCUGGGGUGCAUAGCUGAAGGUAGCAGGGAGCAAAAAGAAUCUGAAGGGGCAAGUGAACAAUGUAGAGCGUAUCUGUGCUGAAGACAUAAGGAGAGAGUGGAGGUCAGAAGCUGGCACGGUCCCUGGUGCAUGUGUCAGCCGCUAAAGCUGGAGUGGAUGAAUCAGAACUUUCCCCAUGGGAGCAUUUAUAAAAAGGGGACACCCAGCGCAGAAGAUGUUUUCCAGGGAGAUCUCGGGGAGCCCAACAAGCCAAGAAGAGCAGAGCAAAGCAUUCCAAGGAAGGACUCUAAGUCUGCAACAGAGCACACACGAGGUAGGUGCUUUUACCCCUGCUGUGCAUUCAAGGAAAGGAGAUCCGGAGAGGUUAUAGCAUCA